rnacentral:rRNA from 1 species
UACAUGUGGGGCAAGCGUUGUUCGGAAUUACUGGGCAUAAAGGGCGCGUAGGCGGCUCGUGAAGUCGGGUGUGAAAGCCCGGGGCUCAACCCCGGAACGGCAUCCGAUACUGGCGGGCUUGAGACCGGGAGAGGAGGGUGGAAUACCCAGUGUAGAGGUGAAAUUCGUAGAUAUGGGGAGGAACACCGGUGGCGAAGGCGGCCAUCUGGACGGAUACUGACGCUGAGACGCGAAAGCGUGGGGAGCAAACAGG